rnacentral:rRNA from 1 species
GGCGGACGGGUGAGUAACACGUGAGUAAUCUGCCUCAAGCAGUGGAAUAACAACGGGAAACCGUUGCUAAUACCGCAUAGAGUCACUUCUCGGCAUCGAGAGGAGAUAAAAGGGAGUAAUCCCGGCCUGAGAUGAGCUCGCGUCCGAUUAGGUAGUUGGUGAGGUAACGGCUCACCAAGCCCGCGAUCGGUAGCCGGACUGAGAGGUUGAUCGGCCACAUUGGGACUGAGACACGGCCCAGACUCCUACGGGAGGCAGCAGUGGGGAAUAUUGGGCAAUGGGGGAAACCCUGACCCAGCGACGCCGCGUGAAGGAUGAAGGCCUUCGGGUUGUAAACUGCUUUUAUACGGGAGCAAUAAGGGUUACGAGUAAUCCGAUGAGAGUACUGUAUGAAUAAGGAUCGGCUAACUCCGUGCCAGCAGCCGCGGUAAUACGGAGGAUCCGAGCGUUAUCCGGAAUUAUUGGGUUUAAAGGGUGCGUAGGCGGCCAUUUAAGUCAGCGGUGAAAUUUUGCAGCUUAACUGUAACAGUGCCGUUGAUACUGUUUGGCUAGGAUUUGGUUGUAGUGUGCGGAAUGUGUGGUGUAGCGGUGAAAUGCUUAGAUAUCACACAGAACACCGAUUGCGAAGGCAGCACACUAAGUCAUUAUUGACGCUGAGGCACGAAAGUGUGGGGAUCAAACAGGAUUAGAUACCCUGGUAGUCCACACUGUAAACGAUGAUAACUCGCUGUCGGCGAUACACAGUCGGUGGCCAAGCGAAAGCAUUAAGUUAUCCACCUGGGGAGUACGACCGCAAGGUUGAAACUCAAAGGAAUUGACGGGGGCCCGCACAAGCGGAGGAACAUGUGGUUUAAUUCGAUGAUACGCGAGGAACCUUACCCGGGCUCGAACGGUGCAUGAAUAUACGAGAGAUUGUAUAGUCCUUCGGGACAUGUAUCGAGGUGCUGCAUGGUUGUCGUCAGCUCGUGCCGUGAGGUGUCGGCUUAAGUGCCAUAACGAGCGCAACCCUUGUCAUUAGUUGCCAUCAGGUCAAGCUGGGGACUUUAAUGAGACUGCCACCGUAAGGUGUGAGGAAGGGGGGGAGGACGUCAAAUCAGCACGGCCCUUAUGUCCGGGGCGACACACGUGUUACAAUGGGAGGUACAGAGGGCAGCUAUCCGGUGACGGAAUGCUAAUCUCCAAAACCUUUCUCAGUUCGGAUUGGAGUCUGCAACUCGACUCCAUGAAGGUGGAUUCGCUAGUAAUCGCGCAUCAGCCAUGGCGCGGUGAAUACGUUCCCGGGCCUUGUACACACCGCCCGUCAAG